UACGUAGGGUGCAAGCGUUGUCCGGAAUUAUUGGGCGUAAAGAGCUCGUAGGCGGCUUGUCACGUCGGCUGUGAAAACCUGGGGCUCAACCCCGGGCCUGCAGCCGAUACGGGCAAGCUAGAAUUCGGUAGGGGAGACUGGAAUUCCUGGUGUAGCGGUGAAAUGCGCAGAUAUCAGGAGGAACACCAAUAGCGAAGGCAGCUCGCUGGGACGUUACUGACACUAAGGCGCGAAAGCGUGGGGAGCGAACAGG
rnacentral:rRNA from 1 species